AUGGAGACAGACACACUCCUGCUAUGGGUGCUGCUGCUCUGGGUUCCAGGCUCCACUGGUGAUAUUGUGCUGACACAACCUUCAGCUUCCUUGGCUGUGUCUCUAGGACAAAGGGCCACCAUCUCCUGCAAGGCCAGCAAAAGUCUCAAUGUUCUUCUUUCUACAAGUGCUCUGAAUUGGUAUGAAGAGAAACCAGGACAACAGUUGAAACUACUCAUCUACAGUGCAUCCAACCUAGAAUCUGGGGUCCCUGCCAGGUUCAGUGGCAGUGGGUCUGAGAUGGACUUCACCCUCACCAUGGAUCCUGUGGAGGAUGAUAACACUGCACCCUAUUACUGUCAGCACAGUAGAGAGCUUCCUCCCACAGUGCUCCAGGGCUGA